rnacentral:lncRNA from 1 species
UCUCCUUUGAUCGCCUCGAACUCUUUCGAUAUCGAAGAUAGAUCAGAAGAGGUGCUGGAUGGUAGAGAAAAAAUUAGAGAAGAACUCUCUUCUCUCUUGUAUUUUUUCUCACCCAAAAAUUCUAGAAUAAUUCUAAAUCUCUCACCCAAAGAGGAGUCAGAUCUCUUCUAUGCACACGCACCAAAGCAAUGCUGCCCACCC